rnacentral:misc_RNA from 1 species
AUCAAAACGAAUCAAUUUGGUUUGGUUCAAUUUAAUUUUUCUUGUUAUUUAGUUCUUUUUAAUAAAUAUUAAGUUUUAUUUUUCUAGUUUUUCAAAUAAAAUCAAAUUGAAUUGAUCAAUGCUUACUCCUAAUUAUUGCCCUUUCCUCCUUAUUAAAAUAAAUAAAAGAUUUAUUAGCCUUGGAAUUUUAUCCUGGGCUUAAACA